rnacentral:rRNA from 1 species
AUACGGAGGGGGCUAGCGUUGUUCGGAAUUACUGGGCGUAAAGCGCGCGUAGGCGGAUUGACAAGUUGGAGGUGAAAUCCCGGGGCUCAACCCCGGAACUGCCUUCAAAACUGUCAGUCUUGAGUUCGGAAGAGGUGAGUGGAAUUCCUAGUGUAGAGGUGAAAUUCGUAGAUAUUAGGAAGAACACCAGUGGCGAAGGCGACUCACUGGUCCGAUACUGACGCUGAGGUGCGAAAGCGUGGGGAGCAAACAGGAUUAGAUACCCUAGUAGUCC